rnacentral:lncRNA from 1 species
GUGGUGGAUUUCUUCGAUCAGGGCAUCAAGAUCUCUCUGGACGUCAAGAAGAAGACCAAAAAGCUGUCAGAUUUCAAGAGUUUCCUGCUGGAGGACUCGGAGACGGCGUCUCGUAUCGCGGAUCUGCGUCGCCGCGUGGAGGCCUUCGCUCGUCCCUUCCCCAUGCCUGGAUUCACCGACCAUUAAAGCAGCAGCGAACACACGCGUUAUUUUUUUUUUCUUUAGCUUCAAGAUCAGUCAUUAUAUUAUUAAUCAUUUACUGGAACUAAAAGUCUUAAAACGAGCGACAUUAGAAGCGAGUUUCCCUUCUGCGGAUGAUUUAUUCCUCGUGUGUGAUCCUUUUAUAACGUUCAGGACUCGACUAACAUCUGCAUCUUCCAUUUCGAGUCAAGAACAAACGUUUCUAACAGACUAAUGAUGCUAAAUGUUUACAGACUGCGAUUCCGUUCUGAGCCGUUUUGUACUGGAGUGUCAGUAGUUUGAGUUCUUGUCCUUUGAUAAUCGAAGCUGUUUUGUAAAUGUACAGUAGUGUGUGUAAAGGUGGGCGUUUGUUUUGUGUUUGCUGCAGUGAUUGUGAACAAACGCACUAAUAUUGAUAAAUACUUUGAGCCUCUUCUUCACGUUGCACCUUCAUUCUGCCUGACAAAACACCUUUUUAUCACAAAAUGUUUCUUUUUAAAUGGACAGAUCUUUACAAAUGAUUUUCUAAGAACAUCUAAUCCCAAUAAAGUUGUGCUGUAGGAACAUGCGACUCUUUCGGCUGCUCUUUAUUUUCUGUGUAAGUGUGUGUGCUGUGGGUGGAGACGAUCGAUCGAGUCGUUUCUGGCCCGUCGUCUUCAGAGGAAUAAUGUGUUUUGAGUCGGAGGAUUAUUGAGGAACGUGCAUUUAAAAAUACAUCUCAGGGUAAUGUGACAGACUGAAAGAGCUGCUGCUAAUCAAUAGAUUAAAGUGAGCGUUAAACGCAGCGUGUGUGGAGGGUUUCCAGGUUAAAUCAAAGCCCAAAAUCGCAAGAAAGACUAAAAAUAACUUUAAAAAAAAAUUAAAUAGUUACCUAUUUUUAGUCAUUAUGACAUUUUAUUAAGUACACAUUUACUUUUCUAAUGUUUUAAACCUAUUUACACCAGUGUUAUUUGGAAAAAAAAAAUUACUGACCCCCAAAUUACUGACCAGUAGUGUAUAUUGUUAUUACAAAAUAUUUAUAUUUUUAAAAACAUAGCUUCUUUUUUUUAUUUUUAUUUUUUUACUUUUUAUUCAUCAAAGUAUCCUAAAAAAAGUAUCACAUGUUCUGAAAAAAUAUUAAGCAGCAGAACUGUUUCCAACUUUGAUAAUGAAUCAUCAUAUUAGAAUGAUUUCUAAAGGAUCAUGUGAUAAUGAUCCUAAAAUUCAGCUUUGCAUCACAGAAAUAAAUGAUAAUUUAAAGUAUAAUAAAUUUAAAAACAAUUAUUUUAAAUUGUAAUAAUAUAUCACAAUAUUAAAAUUUUUUCUGUAUUUUUGAUCAAAUAAAUGCAGGCUUGAUGAGCAGAAGAAACUUCUUUCAAAAAUAUUAAAAAUAGUAAUGUUUCCAAACUUUUGGUCUGUACUGUAUAUAUAUAUAUAUAAUUUUUUUAUUUAAAAAUGGGCCUUCAUAAGCCAUAAGCCACAUAUAUAUAUACAUAUACAUAUAUAUACCAUAUAUAUAUAUAUAUAUAGUUUGAAUAUUUUAUAUUUUCGGUUUACUUUUU